CAGUGGGGAAUAUUGGACAAUGGGGGCAACCCUGAUCCAGCCAUGCCGCGUGCGUGAAGAAGGCCUUAGGGUUGUAAAGCGCUUUCGACGGGGAAGAUGACGACGGUACCCGUAGAAGAAGCCCCGGCUAACUCCGUGCCAGCAGCCGCGGUAAUACGGAGGGGGCUAGCGUUGUUCGGAAUUACUGGGCGUAAAGGGCGCGUAGGCGGACCAUCAAGUCAGGGGUGAAAGGUCUGGGCUCAACCCGGGAACUGCCUUUGAAACUGAAGGUCUAGAGUCCGAGAGAGGAUAGCGGAAUUCCCAGUGUAGAGGUGAAAUUCGUAGAUAUUGGGAAGAACACCAGUGGCGAAGGCGGCUAUCUGGCUCGGUACUGACGCUGAGGCGCGAAAGCGUGGGGAGCAAACAGGAUUAGAUACCCUGGUAGUCCACGCCGUAAACGAUGUGUGCUAGCCGUUGGAAAACUUGUUUUUCAGUGGCGCAGCUAACGCUUUAAGCACACCGCCUGGGGAGUACGGUCGCAAGAUUA
rnacentral:rRNA from 1 species